rnacentral:rRNA from 1 species
GAUGAACGCUGGCGGCGUGCCUAAUACAUGCAAGUCGAGCGAAGCGGGAACGGGUGAGUAACACGUGGAUAACCUCCUUUAAGACUGGGAUAACUUCGGGAAACAGGAGCUAAACCGGAUAGUUAUGGAUGGAUCCGCGCUGCAUUUGCUGGUUGGGUAGGUAACGGCUUAGCAAGGCAACGAGGCAUAGCCGACCUGAGAGGGUGAUAGUCCAAACUGGAACUGAGACACGGUCCAGCGUCCUACGGGAGGAAGCAGUAGGGAAUCUUCCGCAAUGGGCGAAAGCCUGACGGAGCAACGCCGCGUGAGUGAUGAAGGUCUUCGGAUCGUAAAACUCUGUUAUUAGUGCAGCGGUACCUAAUCAGAAAGCCACGGCUAACUACGUGCCAGCAGCCGCGGUAAUUC